CCCGCGUUUUUCUCUCUCUCUCCUCGUCGCUCUGCAACUUCGGCCACUUUCCUUUUCCGGCCACCUGGCCGUGCACGGAGGGUACCGGCGGACUCGUCUCCGCUCCCUCUAGGCGCCUGUGGUGGUGUUUUGCGGUGGCUCGGCCCGAGGAGCUUGGAUUUGAGCCGUGAAGUUCACUGUAGCAAUUUGGAGUUUCGUCGAUUUCCGGCGAUUCCGGCCGUCUCCGGCCACCAAACCGGCGUCGAAGGUUCGGUUUUUGCCAAGGAUCAUUUUCCCCCUAACCUUGAGCCAUGAUUUGCAGUGUAGAGGAAGAAUCGACGAUUGGAAGAUUACGGUCACUAUUCACAAUUUGAGUUCAAGCUUCUCCUUAAUUGUUGAGGGCAAUGUUGCGAGCUACGGCUAGAUGAAGGGACUCGUUUGCGUGGUCGCCAACUAGUACUUUUGCAGGAGUUAUUAGUUGAGGUCGGGCGUACAUGGAUCGAGGCAUAGUUGACGAAUAGCUUCCGCACUUCUUUGUUUGGCUCUGAUCUAUUGUGGGUUACUAUUUUGGGUGUCCACUUUAGGGGUGACUCGACCAGUUCUCGGUAGAGUUAUCUCUAAGGUGGGCCCCGCAGGGCCACCUCGGAUUUCAGGGUGAAAUUCGGGGCGAGUCCUGUCAAGCAGAAGGCUGAGAGACAAAUGGAAGAACAACUUGGAGCUGAUCAGAAGAGAGGACAGGCAUCAUAUGUGGGGAAAGAUGGGAAGAACUAACAGGGACAGAGGACACAGGAAAAGAACAAGAGGAAGAAUGGGAUGGUGAGGCAGGAGAAGGAGAAGGAAGUACACUAGAAGAGUGAAAUGGAAACACUGACUCACAUGAAUAACAUGUCUACACAUCCAAAGCUUGUUUUUGUCAAUGCUGUAGCAGAAAACACCCUUGUAUCCCAAGGCAUAUCCCAAAAAUACACAUCUAGUUGUCCGAGAAUCAAGCUUGUCAUUGCAGUAUGGUCUAAGAAAAGGAUAACAUGCAGAACCAAAAAUCCUGAGAUGACCAAGAUCAGGUGCAGAACCAAAGAGUUGGAUAUAUGGAGAGGACAUAUGCAAAGAGACACAGGGCAUUCUAUUAAUGAGAAAUGCAGAAUGAGCAACAGCAUGAAACCAGAAUUGUUUAGGCAGGUGAGCUGCAGACAUAAGAGUAAUACAAGUCUCAACAAUGUGUCGAUUCUUUCUUUCUGCUACCCCAUUUUGUUGGGGGGUAUGAGGACAAGUGAUAAA